rnacentral:rRNA from 1 species
UACCAGGAAGGACCUGACGCAGCGACGCCGCGUGAGCGAGAAGGCCUUCGGGUUGUAAACCUCUGACCAUGGUACGAUAAUGCGGUACCAUACGAAAGACCCUCCGGACUACUUGCCACCAGCCGCCGCAAUACUUAGGGGGCGAGCGUUGUCCGGAAUUACUACUGGGUGUAAAGGGUGCGGCGGCUAUUUUACUCAUGUGGUGAAAAACCGGGCUUAUCCACUGAUAUGCUGCUGAAAAUAUUGUGCUUGUUGCAUGGAGAGGAGACCGAAAUUCCUGGUGGUGUGGCGAAAAGCUGCGAGAACAUGAAGAAUACCACCGGCGAAAGAGGCUCUCUGGUGUUGACUUGCUGCUGAUGAGGCAAAAAAGGGGGAGCAAACAAGAUUAUUAACCCUGGUGGUCCACCCCGCCAACAACGGAUACUACGUGUGGUGGGGGAAUCAACCCUCCCCGUGCCAAAGCAAUAACAAUCCCUCCUCCACCUGGCAACCACGAGGUUGAAACUCAAACGAAUUGACGGUGACGGA